rnacentral:rRNA from 1 species
GCAGUGGGGAAUAUUGCACAAUGGGGGAAACCCUGAUGCAGCAACGCCGCGUGAAGGAAGACGGUUUUCGGAUUGUAAACUUCUGUUCUUAGUGAAGAAUAAUGACGGUAGCUAAGGAGCAAGCCACGGCUAACUACGUGCCAGCAGCCGCGGUAAUACGUAGGUGGCAAGCGUUGUCCGGAAUUACUGGGUGUAAAGGGAGCGUAGGCGGGAUGCCAAGUCAGCUGUGAAAACUAUGGGCUUAACCUGUAGACUGCAGUUGAAACUGGUAUUCUUGAGUGAAGUAGAGGUUGGCGGAAUUCCGAGUGUAGCGGUGAAAUGCGUAGAUAUUCGGAGGAACACCGGUGGCGAAGGCGGCCAACUGGGCUUUAACUGACGCUGAGGCUCGAAAGUGUGGGGAGCAAACAGGAUUAGAUACCCUGGUAGUCCACACUGUAAACGAUGAUAACUAGGUGUGGGGGGUCUGACCCCUUCCGUGCCGCAGCUAACGCAAUAAGUUAUCCACCUGGGGAGUACGACCGCAAGGUUGAAACUCAAAGGAAUUGACGGGGACCCGCACAAGCAGUGGAUUAUGUGGUUUAAUUCGAAGCAACGCGAAGAACCUUACCAGCACUUGACAUCCGACUAACGAAGUAGAGAUACAUUAGGUGCCCUUCGGGGAAAGUCGAGACAGGUGGUGCAUGGUUGUCGUCAGCUCGUGUCGUGAGAUGUUGGGUUAAGUCCCGCAACGAGCGCAACCCCUGCCAUUAGUUGCUACGCAAGAGCACUCUAAUGGGACCGCUACCGACAAGGUGGAGGAAGGUGGGGACGACGUCAAAUCAUCAUGCCCCUUAUGUGCUGGGCUACACACGUAAUACAAUGGCCAUCAACAAAGAGAAGCAAUACCGCGAGGUGGAGCAAAACUUCAAAAAUGGUCUCAGUUCGGACUGCAGGCUGCAACCCGCCUGCACGAAGUUGGAAUUGCUAGUAAUCGUGGAUCAGCAUGCCACGGUGAAUACGUUCCCGGGUCUUGUACACACCGCCCGUCACACCAUGGGAGUUGGUAACACCCGAAGUCAGUAGUCUAACCGCAAGGAGGACGCUGCCGAAGGUGGGAUUGACGACUGGGGUGAAGUCGUAACAAGGUAGCCGUAUCAGAAGGUGCGGCUG